rnacentral:lncRNA from 1 species
CGGCACUUGUGAGACAUGUCACAAUUUAUCAUCAUUUUAUCGCGGCAGGCAGUCCUAUGCAUGAGCAAUUCAUGGCGGUGCGCAUGGCGUGGAAUGGAGUGAAUUGAUGUUGUCAGGGGGCUGGUUGCAAUGGCCGAUACCGGUACCUGUGGUCCUGUGCGUCUCUGCGUGUCCUGUACAGUGUAUUCCCCCAAAUGGAUAGGGAGGGCAUGGUUGCAGGCCUGGCCAGAUCAGGUGUCUGGGUUUUAUCCCUCGCCUGCGUGUGCGUGCUUGUAUCUAACUGUACCACUUCAAUUAGGUCAAGGUUACCUGGCCCCUGUAGAGACGUGGAGGCUCAGACAAUAAGACAAUUGGUCUUAGCUCAAUGCAAACAGUGCAAAGAUUGAUUACAUUUGCUGAGUCUGCUUGUGGACAGAGAGAUGUGCGGUGUGAGGACUGUCGGCAGGAGCAUUGAUAGUAUGACAGUGGAGCGUGAAGAGGGAGAGGGACGGAGGGAGGCUGCGUGGUGCUGGCAGAGGGACGGAGGACGAGGUGGGCACCAUGCGGCCUUUGCAAUGCAUUCAAAGCUUCGCCCAAAGCCUUAACUUAUCAGGAUACCGUAUUGCUUGAAGCAGGAGUGCCGUCGCUGGUCACGCAACUUAAGAGAACUGCAGGGAAACAAGCAUCGAACCGGGGGUCGUGAUGGAGGCAUAGAUUUUGCUCUUGCGGCUCCUCGGGCGCCUGGUACACAGGGACACUUUAUCAGUGCACGAUAGCUAUAAGACGAAACAAUAUGGUGGUUUGCCUCGGUGCAGAGAACAGCAGUGCUGACAACUGAGCGCUCCCAAUUGUUGCCUUCUCUCCUACUGGAACUAUGACCGAGCCAAGCACCAGUGGCAAGCGCCAUAGAGAGGAUGAAGGUGUUGGAAACCUCGGCUGGCUGGCGAGCAGCGGUAUGCUGCCUCGCAAGCGGCAAGACAUUUCGGGAGUCGGCAAUGCGAGCAUUAUGGAGCUACAAGCACAACUUUAUCGCACGCAAGAAAAUGUGAAAUUGAAAGCAAGUGGCGUCGAGGUCCCCGACCGGCGAACUUCGGGGUUCAACGUCGCAUCGCUUAUGCAGCGACGAAACACGGGCGUGGAAGAGCGCGAUCGACGGGACAAGCUUGAAGUCAAGGUGAGGCGGGGUCUGGGAGUCCGCAAAUGCGACGUAGGGGCGGUGCUACGCUUGACGCGGACACUGGCCUCAGCAGUUCUGGACGACGCCCCGCGCGGUUUCCCCUCCACGCCCCUCCCGCACAGACCACCGCUGACCGCGUCGGGGAGUGUUACGCCGCGCUAGAGCGCAAGGCGCAACUAUACGAGAAACUAGGUAGGCGCUGCGACUGCUGCAGCCGUGCGCCGUGAACAAUGCCACACGGCACCACUGCCAUCCCUACCCCGCCAUUCCACCACGGCCACGUUGCACACCCCUCGCCGUCGAUGUAUGCGGACUCGCACAGGCUGUCCAGCUCGCCAUCUUCCACACGGCUACCAUAUGCCUGUACAAACUCCCUCGACCCUUUGCCAGCCCUAUCUACCCAUUGAUCGCUGUGCUUCUGCUCGACCGCUGUUCCGCUGCUGUUGCUGCUGCUGCUGCUACUGCUGCUGCUGCCGCAGCUCGCGGCGAGUUGGACGACGAGGGCGAGCAGUACGAGGUGGACUUCCUGCGCAAGGGCGGGGCGGCGGAGGAGGAGGCGGGUGGAGGCGAGGGCCGGCGCGGCGGCGACCUGGUGGACACCAUGCUGCAGGCAGUGUCGGGGACAGGUGAGGCGGGGGCGGAUGGGGGCAAGGAGUCCACGGGCCUUGUAGUCGGACUGCCCGAGCCGCCACCCUGACGGAGAGGGUCAACAAGUGUGUGCUGCGGCUGACCUGUCGGCAGAGCGUGUUGCUGCUGUUCGGCGCUCGGCCCGCGGGAUCUCACCACCCUCAGCCCCCGCCGCUGCUCGGCUGCAACCAUUGAGGCAGGACAGCAAGGGUUUAGGCAGGGUAGUAUGGACUGAGGCAGGGUAAUGCGGACUGGGCAAGGCAACCACCCGACACAUAGCGUGUCCCGGUCUAUUGUAUUCUUCUCUUGUGCGGAGACCGCACGUCUGAACCGCUCCUACUCCGCGCUGCACUUGCGCUCCUGACCACCUCCUGGCCACCUGUCGGCAUGCGGCCCCGCACACAGGCGGCAUGAUGACUGCGGACAUGGCGCGGGAACGGGAGCGGCGCGACUGGGAGCGGGACCAGCAGCGCAUCAUGGCGGACGAGGAGGCGGAGGAGCGGAGGCGGAAGCAGAAAGAGGUGCGUCCAACACAAGCGGAGGUCGGGGACCAAUGGCACCAUUGUUGUAUGCUGUUUAACCCGGGUUACCCUAUGCCGGCGAUGCUGCCUGUGAGCAGUUGAUAAGCAGUGCCUAACCUGCGGUGGCACGUCGUCGCAUGCGGUUUGCACAGGCGCUGCUUUGGCUUGUGGGGGCUGUCGGUGGAGGCGCUGCUGCCCGAGGUGACGGUGCCGGUGCCUGAGGUCCUGCGCAGCCGCAGCGAGUGGUGCACCACCUACCUGGAUGAGGACAUGCGGGUGGGGCGCGGCAGCGGCGGCGCGCUGUUCCUGUUCCGGCGCGGCGGCGCGGACGACGUCACCGAGGCGGCGGGCGCCAUGGGCGGCAGCCUGGGUGCGGGCUCCGGCAUGGGCAUGGGCUUGGGCGUGGGCUUGGGCGCGGUGGCUGCGGAUGCCCGCGCGCCGGUGAUGCGGCCGCUGUGAGGCGCGUGGGAGGAGGGGCGGGUGGCAGGAGGGAAGUGGAGCCUGGCGGCCGGCGCCGCGGGUGUGUAGCGGUGUGCCCGUGUGUGUGCGGGUGCGUGUACGUGUACGUGUACGUGUACGUGUACGUGUACGUGUACGUGUACGUGUACGUGUACGUGUGUGUGUGUGUGUGUGUGUGUGUGUACAUGUGUGUGUGUCUACAUGUGUGUGUACAUGUGUGUGUACAUGUGUGUGUACAUGUGUGUACCUGUGUGUACAUGUGUGUACAUGUGUGUGUGUGUGUUGAGGUGGGCAUGGUGUGGCUGUGUGGGCGAGGAGGAGCACAGCGCUUCCAUCCGGCACUUGUGAGACAUGUCACAAUUUAUCAUCAUUUUAUCGCGGCAGGCAGUCCUAUGCAUGAGCAAUUCAUGGCGGUGCGCAUGGCGUGGAAUGGAGUGAAUUGAUGUUGUCAGGGGGCUGGUUGCAAUGGCCGAUACCGGUACCUGUGGUCCUGUGCGUCUCUGCGUGUCCUGUACAGUGUAUUCCCCCAAAUGGAUAGGGAGGGCAUGGUUGCAGGCCUGGCCAGAUCAGGUGUCUGGGUUUUAUCCCUCGCCUGCGUGUGCGUGCUUGUAUCUAACUGUACCACUUNNNNNNNNNNNNNNNNNNNNNNNNNNNNNNNNNNNNNNNNNNNNNNNNNNNNNNNNNNNNNNNNNNNNNNNNNNNNNNNNNNNNNNNNNNNNNNNNNNNNACGCGGACACUGGCCUCAGCAGUUCUGGACGACGCCCCGCGCGGUUUCCCCUCCACGCCCCUCCCGCACAGACCACCGCUGACCGCGUCGGGGAGUGUUACGCCGCGCUAGAGCGCAAGGCGCAACUAUACGAGAAACUAGGUAGGCGCUGCGACUGCUGCAGCCGUGCGCCGUGAACAAUGCCACACGGCACCACUGCCAUCCCUACCCCGCCAUUCCACCACGGCCACGUUGCACACCCCUCGCCGUCGAUGUAUGCGGACUCGCACAGGCUGUCCAGCUCGCCAUCUUCCACACGGCUACCAUAUGCCUGUACAAACUCCCUCGACCCUUUGCCAGCCCUAUCUACCCAUUGAUCGCUGUGCUUCUGCUCGACCGCUGUUCCGCUGCUGUUGCUGCUGCUGCUGCUACUGCUGCUGCUGCCGCAGCUCGCGGCGAGUUGGACGACGAGGGCGAGCAGUACGAGGUGGACUUCCUGCGCAAGGGCGGGGCGGCGGAGGAGGAGGCGGGUGGAGGCGAGGGCCGGCGCGGCGGCGACCUGGUGGACACCAUGCUGCAGGCAGUGUCGGGGACAGGUGAGGCGGGGGCGGAUGGGGGCAAGGAGUCCACGGGCCUUGUAGUCGGACUGCCCGAGCCGCCACCCUGACGGAGAGGGUCAACAAGUGUGUGCUGCGGCUGACCUGUCGGCAGAGCGUGUUGCUGCUGUUCGGCGCUCGGCCCGCUGGAUCUCACCACCCUCAGCCCCCGCCGCUGCUCGGCUGCAACCAUUGAGGCAGGACAGCAAGGGUUUAGGCAGGGUAGUAUGGACUGAGGCAGGGUAAUGCGGACUGGGCAAGGCAACCACCCGACACAUAGCGUGUCCCGGUCUAUUGUAUUCUUCUCUUGUGCGGAGACCGCACGUCUGAACCGCUCCUACUCCGCGCUGCACUUGCGCUCCUGACCACCUCCUGGCCACCUGUCGGCAUGCGGCCCCGCACACAGGCGGCAUGAUGACUGCGGACAUGGCGCGGGAACGGGAGCGGCGCGACUGGGAGCGGGACCAGCAGCGCAUCAUGGCGGACGAGGAGGCGGAGGAGCGGAGGCGGAAGCAGAAAGAGGUGCGUCCAACACAAGCGGAGGUCGGGGACCAAUGGCACCAUUGUUGUAUGCUGUUUAACCCGGGUUACCCUAUGCCGGCGAUGCUGCCUGUGAGCAGUUGAUAAGCAGUGCCUAACCUGCGGUGGCACGUCGUCGCAUGCGGUUUGCACAGGCGCUGCUUUGGCUUGUGGGGGCUGUCGGUGGAGGCGCUGCUGCCCGAGGUGACGGUGCCGGUGCCUGAGGUCCUGCGCAGCCGCAGCGAGUGGUGCACCACCUACCUGGAUGAGGACAUGCGGGUGGGGCGCGGCAGCGGCGGCGCGCUGUUCCUGUUCCGGCGCGGCGGCGCGGACGACGUCACCGAGGCGGCGGGCGCCAUGGGCGGCAGCCUGGGUGCGGGCUCCGGCAUGGGCAUGGGCUUGGGCGUGGGCUUGGGCGCGGUGGCUGCGGAUGCCCGCGCGCCGGUGAUGCGGCCGCUGUGAGGCGCGUGGGAGGAGGGGCGGGUGGCAGGAGGGAAGUGGAGCCUGGCGGCCGGCGCCGCGGGUGUGUAGCGGUGUGCCCGUGUGUGUGCGGGUGCGUGUACGUGUACGUGUACGUGUACGUGUACGUGUACGUGUACGUGUACGUGUACGUGUACGUGUACGUGUACGUGUACGUGUACGUGUGUGUGUGUGUGUGUGUGUGUGUGUGUGUGUGUGUACAUGUGUGUGUGUACAUGUGUGUGUACAUGUGUGUGUACAUGUGUGUGUACAUGUGUGUACCUGUGUGUACAUGUGUGUACAUGUGUGUGUGUGUGUGUGUGUUGAGGUGGGCAUGGUGUGGCUGUGUGGGCGAGGAGGAGCACAGCGCUUCCAUCCGGCACUUGUGAGACAUGUCACAAUUUAUCAUCAUUUUAUCGCGGCAGGCAGUCCUAUGCAUGAGCAAUUCAUGGCGGUGCGCAUGGCGUGGAAUGGAGUGAAUUGAUGUUGUCAGGGGGCUGGUUGCAAUGGCCGAUACCGGUACCUGUGGUCCUGUGCGUCUCUGCGUGUCCUGUACAGUGUAUUCCCCCAAAUGGAUAGGGAGGGCAUGGUUGCAGGCCUGGCCAGAUCAGGUGUCUGGGUUUUAUCCCUCGCCUGCGUGUGCGUGCUUGUAUCUAACUGUACCACUUCAAUU